rnacentral:lncRNA from 11 species
GUUAUAAGCAAGUGUGCCUAUAAAGUUGUGUUGUAAGUUUGAGGCGAGAGAAAGGAAUGAGUUGCUGUGUUCGGCAUAGCCAGUGCUGUUUGAGUUGUCCACAAUAAGAAAAAGAAGAUAGAAGAAAGAAGAUAAAACCUUGGAUUGUGUUCUCCGUCAACUCCAGAUAUUGUUGGGAGAAAGCUGUAUCUUUAAUACAAAGCAUGCAGAAAGAGAGAAUAACAAGCAAAGCUGUUUUGAUUGGCAAUGUUACAGUACAUCUCACAGAUUGCAAGAUAGAACAAAAACCUGUGAAACUGAACCUGUGAAAAAGAAGGGAAUUUAUGGCAUGUAUCAAUUUAAAAAGAAAAAAAACUUUGCCUGAG